rnacentral:rRNA from 1 species
UACGGAGGGUGCGAGCGUUGUCCGGAAUCAUUGGGCGUAAAGGGCGAGUAGGUGGCUUGGUAAGUCUGUGGUGAAAGCGCGGGGCUCAACCCCGCGUCGGCCGUGGAUACUGCUAGGCUUGAGCACUGUAGAGGCAGGCGGAAUUCCGGGUGUAGCGGUGGAAUGCGUAGAGAUCCGGAAGAACACCAGGGGCGAAGGCGGCCUGCUGGGCAGUUGCUGACACUGAAUCGCGACAGCGUGGGGAGCAAACAGG